rnacentral:rRNA from 1 species
AUUGAACGCUGGCGGCAGGCCUAACACAUGCAAGUCGAGCGGAUGAAGGGAGCUUGCUCCUGGAUUCAGCGGCGGACGGGUGAGUAAUGCCUAGGAAUCUGCCUGGUAGCGGGGGAUAACGUCCGGAAACGGGCGCUAAUACCGCAUACGUCCUGAGGGAGAAAGUGGGGGAUCUUCGGACCUCACGCGAUCAGAUGAGCCUAGGUCGGAUCAGCGUGUUGGAGGGGUAAUGGCCUACCAAGGCGGCGUUCCGUAGCCGGUCUGAGAGGGUGGUCGGUCACACUGGGAAGGAGACACGGCCCGUACUCCUACGGGAGGCAGCAGUGGGGAAUAUUGCACAAUGGGCGUAAGCCUGAUGCAGCGACGCCGCGGGAGGGAUGGAGGCUUUCGGGUUGUGAACCUCUUUCGCCAGGGAAGCAGGCCUGCCUCGUUUGUGGGUGGGUUGACGGUAGCUGGAUAAGAAGCGCCGGCUAACUACGUG